rnacentral:rRNA from 1 species
AGGCAGCAGGUGGGGAAUAUUGCACAAUGGGCGCAAGCCUGAUGCAGCCAUGCCGCGUGUGUGAAGAAGGCCGUUCGGGUUAGUAAAGCACUUUCAGCGAGGAGGAAGGGUUCAGUGUUAAUAGCACUGUUCAUUGACGUUACUCGCAGAAGAAGCACCGGCUAACUCCGUGCCAGCAGCCGACGGUAAUACGGAGGGUGACAAGCGUUAAUACGGAAUUACGUGGGGACGUAAAGCGCACGCAGGUCGGUUUAGUUAAGUCAGAUGUAGAAACUCCCCCGCGACUUAACGGUAGGGAACUGCUAUUUAGAAACGUGGACAAGCUAGAGUCUUGUAGAGGGGGUAGAAUUCCAGGUGUAGCGGUGAAAUGCGUAGAGAUCUGGAGGAAUACCGGUGGCGAAGGCGGCCCCCUGGACAAAGACUGACGCUCAGGUGCGAAAGCGUGGGGAGCAAACAGGAUUAGAUACCCUGGUAG